GGUGUUUCUAAGUGUUCGUUGGAGAACUAGUGAGAUACAAAGUUUGUUAUCAGUUUAAUAUCCGAUACGUCCCCUAUCUGGGGACCAUAUAUUAAAUGGAUUUUUAGAACAGGGAGAUGAAAGAAGAGCUUGCUCUGUCCACUCCACGCAUCGACCUGGUAUUGCAGUACCUCCAGGACCGAUGCACCCCUU